CGAACAAAACGCCGCUAUUCGGAUAUAACGAUGGAUUAUUUUGGACCAAACCAACAUUUGUUAUUGAAGUAGCAGUCCUGGGAGUGCAUUCUGACGAAGACAACAAAAGAGUUCCCAGUUUUCCUGAAAGCGCCAUAAAUACAGAAAUUGCCAGACUUUGAUGACUAAGUUUGAUGACAGUAUUUGCCCACGAAGGACCGCCGCGCCACAUUCCUGUUCAAGUGAGCACAGAACAACAAGGUGGCCAGGGUAACAACAUGGGAGCCUGUACUGGUGAACCAGCUACCCCCACCGAGCCAAGUCCCUGCAGACCUCGUUGACAAAUUUGAGAGACUAGCCUUGGUGGACUUCCGCAACCAGGAGGGAUUGGCCUGUCUGGAGAAAGCCAUCCGAUUUGCAGAUCAGCUCCAUGUUGUAGACACAGAGGGGGUUGACCCAA